UUUUGCCCUUUAAUGUAUCAAUUAAGAUCCAGGGCCACCAUAAAAAUAUGUUUGUACUCUUGCCGUCCUGAAAGUGAUGAUCUAAUUUAAAUAGAAUUUCUCGUUAUCAAAUAAAAAAAAGUUUGUAGUCUUUUUUUACAGUUUCAAUUUUCUGUAUGAGAGCGAAAAAAUAUAAUUUUGAUUUGAAAUGGCUCAAAGCACUUCUGCAUCAACUGUUUCUUGCUCAGUUUGCUGGGAUGAGGCAUCUGAUGCCUGUGGUCAGUUGUUCUGAUUGUUUUGUUUCUCACUUGUUCCAUCUGGGUCAGUAAUUUGAAGUUUGCAUAUUUUUAAUUUUUGUUAGUUAUGUUCACCAGAGCAACCACAGGCGUCAUAUUCCUCAUUCCAGGAAAUUGAGCAAAAAACAGUUGAUGCAGGUGCCUGAGCCAUUUCUAAUCAAAAUUAUAUGUCUUUCUCUCUCUCAAACUGAGGAUUAAAACUGCAAAACAAGUUGAUGCAGGUGGAACAAGUGAGAGUACUGGAGUCUAACGAUAGAGCGACCGCAGGCGUGAGAUGCCUCAUCCCAGCAAAUUGAGCAAAAAACAGUUGAUGCAGAAGUUGCCUGAGCCAUUUCAAAUCAAAAUUAUAUCGUCAGGCUUCAGUGCUCUCAAUUGUUCCAUCAGGAUUGCAUUGGUUCUGAAUUUAAUGUAUUGGGGAUUUUGCAAUGCCCUGAUUGCCAGGAAAUUGAAAAUGGUGUUUGGCGGCGUUUUGAGAAUACAAACAUUGAAGAAGACAUGGAUCAGGCGGCUGAUGAGGAUGAGCAACACUUUGUCCAAAUCAUUUAUUUAUGUUUAUUACACGAUCCCGGUAUAUUUAUGUUUCUGUCAUUUAAUGUUUAUUCAUCUUGAAUUUCCUACAAUGGAUGCAAUAUUUCUGUUAGAACAUUGCACUACUUGUUUGCAAAACAUAUUGAUGCUUCUCUUAGAAAUUUCUUUCAAGGA